GCAGACUACUUUUCACGGGGAAGAGAGAAAUAAACACCAUGAACAACCACAGCACGUCCACAGCCCUCUCUGCAGAGCCAGGCACCAGAGAACAAGAAGUCUUGCUUCCAAACCAGAAUGUAUGAGACGUCCACUGCCCUCUGUUCCCAGCAGAAUGACCAGAACCAAUUUGUUGGCUUUUAUUUGCCUGGCCCUUCUAUUGAAACCCUGUCCAUUAAAGGAGGCUGUAAAGGGUCCAAAAAGACGUUCACCCUGAGGGCUGGAAUGGAAGUGGUGAGCAUUCACUGCACAACCACUGCUGGAGAAGACACUGGAGGUAACAGAAAACUGAGGCAUCUGAACCUGCAAACCCAGGAAGCCAAAGCGGAGCCCACCCUACUUCGUCAUUACACCACAGGGCUGGCACCCAGGCAAGUUUUUGAUGCUCUGUGAGAUUUAGUUUCCUCAUCAGGGCUGUUGUGGCAACUUAAUGAUAUAACAUAGUUGAUGCGCUUG